UACGUAGGGGGCAAGCGUUGUCCGGAUUCAUUGGGCGUAAAGAGCGUGUAGGCGGCCAGGUAGGUCGGUUGUGAAAACUGGAGGCUCAACCUUCAGAGGUCGACCGAAACCAUCUGGCUAGAGUCCGGGAGAGGCGAGUGGAAUUCCCGGUGUAGCGGUGAAAUGCGCAGAUAUCGGGAGGAGCACCUAUGGCGAAGGCAGCUCGCUGGGACGUUACUGACGCUGAGACGCGAAAGCGUGGGGAGCAAACAGG
rnacentral:rRNA from 1 species